CAGCAGCCGCGGGAACACGGAGGGUGCAAGCGUUAAUCGGAAUUACUGGGCGUAAAGCGCACGCAGGCGGAUAUUUAAGUCAGGGGUGAAAUCCCGCAGCUCAACUGCGGAACUGCCUUUGAUACUGGGUAUCUUGAGUAUGGAAGAGGUUAGUGGAAUUGCGAGUGUAGAGGUGAAAUUCGUAGAUAUUCGCAGGAACACCAGUGGCGAAGGCGGCUAACUGGUCCAUAACUGACGCUGAGGUGCGAAAGCGUGGGGAGCAAACAGGAUUAGAUACCCCUGUAGUCCCUGUCUCUUAUAC
rnacentral:rRNA from 1 species